AGUGACAAAGACAGAAGACUGUGACAGAGAGAGGCUGCAUCUGAAAAAUGUUGCCUUCAGAAGAUUCAUUCCAAGGGUAGGAAGGCACUUGCACGUCCGAUUUCAAUGCUAGCUUCAGUUCCUGUCUCCUGAAAUGCGUUCAUCUAGCAGAUUUUUAAAAGGCAGCAUAAAUGUAUCCUUCGCUGCCUUUGAUAUCCCACAAUCCUGUGCGUUUCAUUCUGUGACAGUAAAGCCAAAAAAUAAAGAUGGCGUCUGAAAGUUAAGAUCAUUAAACCAUUAAGCUGCCUGCAAAGUCACUGCCUGAUACGGCAAGUCACCUGCCUAAGUUUUGGAUGCAGCCAGAGAGAAGUGGACUGUGGAAGCGCACAUGUGGAGCAGGGAAGCAAAACUUCAGGGUUUCAAGUGCAGUGUCAAGUUCACCUCCAUUCCUCUGGCUGCUCUUGCCCACCCUGCUGUCUGGCAAACUAUAUGAAAACUACCUAGUGUCCAUCUUUCACUUUCGUUUUAAGUUCUUUUGCUACCCAAUGUCAUUGCAUUAACUUAAACAGCUUUUUCAGCUUCAACAGAUGUGCAAACAAAGACCCAUUCUCUAUUUCCAGCUUACUCUGUUUGUAAAAUUGGUACGAUCACCAGCCUUUGGAUCUGUUGGAUUAGGUAUAUGGCCCAACGAAGUCCAUGUGCAUCUUUAAAAUGCCAUUUAAAACACCGCUUAAGAGCUGAAUAUUUAUCCAUGGAUUUCAUUAUUUUUUAUUUUAUUUAUUUGUGUGUGAAUUCUAUUGAAAGUUCUUAACCCUAAUGUUCUG